GAUGAACGCUAGCGGCAGGCCUAAUACAUGCAAGUCGAGGGGCAGCGGGAGUAGCAAUACUUGCCGGCGACCGGCGCACGGGUGCGUAACACGUAUGUAAUCUACCCUUUACUGGAGAAUAGCCCGAAGAAAUUCGGAUUAAUACUCCAUAAUAAUAUUGGAAGGCAUCUUUUGAUAUUUAAAGUUCCGACGGUAAAGGAUGAGCAUGCGCGAUAUUAGCUAGUUGGUGAGGUAACGGCUCACCAAGGCGACGAUAUCUAGGGGUACUGAGAGGUUACACCCCCACACUGGUACUGAGACACGGACCAGACUCCUACGGGAGGCAGCAGUGGGGAAUAUUGCACAAUGGGCGCAAGCCUGAUGCAGCAACGCCGCGUGCGGGAUGACGGCCUUCGGGUUGUAAACCGCUUUUAGUAGGGAAGAAGGGCUUCGGCUUGACGGUACCUGCAGAAAAAGGACCGGCUAACUACGUGCCAGCAGCCGCGGUAAGAC
rnacentral:rRNA from 1 species